rnacentral:rRNA from 1 species
AUACGGAGGGUCCGAGCGUUAUCCGGAUUUAUUGGGUUUAAAGGGAGCGUAGGUGGGAUAUUAAGUCAGCUGUGAAAGUUUGGGGCUCGACCUUAAAAUUGCAGUUGAUACUGGUUUCCUUGAGUACGGUACAGGUGGGCGGAAUUCGUGGUGUAGCGGUGAAAUGCUUAGAUAUCACGAAGAACUCCGAUCGCGAAGGCAGCUCACCGGGCCGGAACUGACACUGAUGCUCGAAAGUGCGGGUAUCAAACAGGAUUAGAUACCCUGGUAGUCCGCACAGUAAACGAUGAAUACUCGCUGUUUGCGAUACACUGUAAGCGGCCAAGCGAAAGCGUUAAGUAUUCCACCUGGGGAGUACGCCGGCAACGGUGAAACUUAAAGGAAUUGACGGGG